rnacentral:rRNA from 1 species
UACGUAGGGUGCAAGCGUUAAUCGGAAUUACUGGCGUAAAGCGUGCGCAGGCGGUUAUAUAAGACAGUUGUGAAAUCCCGGGCUCAACCUGGGAACUGCAUCUGUGACUGUAUAGCUAGAGUACGGUAGAGGGGGAUGGAAUUCCGCGUGUAGCAGUGAAAUGCGUAGAUAUGCGGAGGAACACCGAUGGCGAAGGCAAUCCCCUGGACCUGUACUGACGCUCAUGCACGAAAGCGUGGGGAGCAAACGAG